GGUGGUUCUUGGGUGAUGCACCCCAGAAUUGGGCUCCCUCCUCUCUGGUUUUGGGUGCAUCACCUGAGAACCACA
rfam:Myotis lucifugus cont2.9719, whole genome shotgun sequence.